GGACCCGCACAAGCGGUGGAGCAUGUGGUUUAAUUCGAUGCAACGCGAAAAACCUUACCUACUCUUGACAUACUUGGGAGCUCUUGUAAUGAGAGUGUGCCUUAUGGAACCAAGAUACAGGUGCUGCAUGGCUGUCGUCAGCUCGUGUCGUGAGAUGUUCCGUUAAGUCGGAUAACGAGCGCAACCCUUACCCUUAUUUGCCAGCGAUUCGGUCGGGAACUAUAAGGGGACUGCCGGUGAUAAACCGGAGGAAGGUGAGGACGACGUCAAGUCAUCAUGGCCCUUACGAGUAGGGCUACACACGUGCUACAAUGGGGAAUACAGACGGACGCUAAGCCGCGAGGUGGUGCUAAUCCCAGAAAACGUCUCGUAGUCCGGAUUGGAGUCUGCAACUCGACUCCAUGAAGUCGGAAUC
rnacentral:rRNA from 1 species